UGGUUAGUUUCCGUGUCAGUUUCCUAAGACCCUCCGCCUCGGGCCGCACGCAAAGACACAAUUCGAGUGCCAGAAAAAGCCUAGGUGGGUAGAAGUAACGUUCCUCACGCCUUUCUCUUUUAAGUCCAAGAUCUACGUAUAGGUCCCGGCAGCGUCUGCAGGGGUAUCGGGUCAGAGGGGCUCACCUCAUACAAUGCCUGAACCAUUUCCACCAACACCCACUGCUCUCCAACCAUCGCCAUCGCCGACGGGAGGGAAUUUCCGGGAUUGUAGAGCGCCAUGACGUAGAGAAGCGCCUAACGAAGCGCGCUGGGCGGGGCCUUCUCCUCACAGGACGUUGGGCUGUUUGGGUAAUCGCGGGGCUGCCCAAACUGGAGAAACCUGUUCAGAUUGCGCUACAGGCCUUUCUGCCUCCCAGAUUUUGGAAAACCAGUUUUGAUUUCAGGUAUAAGUAUCCAAGAAAUCUUCUCAUAAGGCAUAUGACUAGUGUUGUGUUAAGAUGUUUUGCAAAGGAUUAUAGCAGAAAGACCCAGGAAGCUCUGUAAGUGACCUGCACUUCCAUGAAGACCCAUGUUCAGAACUGCCAUCAGUUGAGACCUACUCCAUGAAAAGUUCAGUAAAACUGAACUUCAGGGGUAAAAAAGGGAAUUCAGUGAAAGAGAGGACUUUCAGGCAUUCUUGAUGAAAAGGCCUGAGCUGAAGAGAAAAUCUGACUUUCAAAUACAAGACUCCAGGACAAUGAGGGUUAAGUGACUUUCCCAGGAGUCACACAACACAGGGUCUGGAGGUCGGAUUUGAACUUAGACUCAGAUCCUCCUGAAUCCACUUUACCACCUAGUUGCCCCAUACUCAUGUACAAUUAAGGGAAAUCUGUUAUCUGUAGGACAGAAAGCAAUCCAGGCCUACCAGUCUCCAACUUGACAUUCGGGCAGGAGGGUUGGCCAAAGCGGUAACCUGCGGCCACGGUGCUGAGCAUGGACAUGAACCUUUCGGCUUCCCCUCCUUGGACCUCACCUCCACUGCAGGCUUGCCUGGCAGCAGAUAUAUUGAAGGCAACAUGUCCAAAAACAUCAAUGGAGGUUCUGUGGUGGAAAUGCAAGGAGAUGAGAUGACUUGAAUCAUUUGGGAACUGAUUAAGGAAAAACUCAUUUUCCCGGCCCACAUGAGUUAAGAUUUUAGAACAAUGGUGACUUGCAGGUUGUCCUCCUUAUGUGGUUUAAUAAGUGUUAAGGGGGCAGCUAGAUGGCACAGUGGAUAGAGCACUGGCCCUGGAGUGAGGAGGACCUGAGUUCAAAUCCAGCCUCAGACACUUAACACUUACUGGCUGUAUGACCCUGGGCAAGUCACUUAACCCCAAUUGCCUCACUAAAAAAAAAAAAAUAAUAAGUGUUGUGCUACCAAAAAUGGCAUAUUUCACCCAGGUGCAGUGAAACAAGCUGCUUUUUUGGACCCCUGCAGGUCUGUUUAUUUCUUUUGUAUAACCGAUAUUUUGAAUUAUUGUUAAACACUAAUCUCUCCCUGGUCUUUGUCUGAACUGUAAUGUAACUUUUAAUUAAAAUUAAGUUCUGUUUUUUAAAAAAAAGCAAUCUGACCUGGGCCACAUAUGCACAAUCACACCAGACAUGCCCUUGCACCAGUCAUGCUGUGAACGAAGCAAAACAAAAGGGGAAAACCUCAAAAAAGAAGAAAAAAAAAGCAGAAACAAAAUGGUUCAAUCUGCACUCAGAAUCCACAGUUCCCUCUUCUGGAUCUAGAGAACAC